rnacentral:misc_RNA from 1 species
AAGUCGUAACAAGGUUUCCGUAGGUGAACCUGCGGAAGGACCAUUACUGGGUCUGAGGGGCGCUCCGGCGCCCUGCACCAACCCUUUGCCUGUGGCCUCACCUUUGGCGCGAAGGGGGCCCCUCUCUCCGGGGGCCCUUGCCGAACACAACCCUGAACAACGAUGCAGCCUGAAGUAAAAAGCAAAUAGUUAAAA